rnacentral:piRNA from 1 species
UGGUGUCUUUAAUCGGACUUUCCAAAGUUG